UUAAAUUGAAGAGUUUGAUCAUGGCUCAGAUUGAACGCUGGCGGCAGGCCUAACACAUGCAAGUCGAGCG
rnacentral:rRNA from 5 species